GACGGAGGAUGCAAGUGUUAUCCGGAAUCACUGGGCGUAAAGCGUCUGUAGGUGGUUUAGUAAGUCAACUGUUAAAUCUUGAAGCUCAACUUCAAAAUCGCAGUCGAAACUACUAGACUAGAGUAUAGUAGGGGUAAAGGGAAUUUCCAGUGGAGCGGUGAAAUGCGUAGAUAUUGGAAAGAACACCGAUGGCGAAGGUACUUUACUGGGCUAUUACUGACACUCAGAGACGAAAGCUAGGGUAGCAAAUGGG
rnacentral:rRNA from 1 species